rnacentral:misc_RNA from 1 species
GAUGAAGAACGUAGCGAAAUGCGAUAAGUAAUGUGAAUUGCAGAAUUCAGUGAAUCAUCGAAUCUUUGAACGCACAUUGCGCCCGGCAGUACUCUGCCGGGCAUGCCUGUUCGAGCGUCAUUUCAACCCUCAAGCCCUGUUUGGUGUUGGGGUCCCACGGCCGCCGUGGGCCCUGAAAGGAAGUGGCGGGCUCGCUACAACUCCGAGCGUAGUAAUUCAUUAUCUCGCUUAGGGCGUUGGGCGGCGCUCCUGCCGUUAAAGAACCAUCUUUAACUCAAGGUUGACCUCGGAUCAGGUAGGAAUACCCGCUGAACUUAAGCAUAUCAAUAAGCGGAGGA